AACGAACGCUGGCGGCGUGGAUAAGACAUGCAAGUCGAACGGGACAGACCGAGUAGCAAUAUUUGGAAUGUUCAGUGGCGAACGGGUGCGUAACACGUGGAUAACAUUCCGGAAAGCGGGGAAUAGCCCAGGGAAACUUGGAUUAAUACCGCAUGUGGCCGCAAGGCUAAAGACGGGGACCGCAAGGCCUGUCACUUUCCGAUUGGUCCGCGGCCUAUCAGCUAGUUGGCGGGGUAAUGGCCCACCAAGGCUACGACGGGUAGCUGGUCUUAGAGGACGACCAGCCACACUGGAACUGAGACACGGUCCAGACACCUACGGGUGGCAGCAGUCGAGAAUCUUUCACAAUGGGGGCAACCCUGAUGGAGCGACGCCGCGUGGAGGAUAAGGCCUUCGGAUUGUAAACUCCUGUCAUGCGAGGACAAGGUACUCAGGCUAAUAACCUGAUUGUUUGAUGGUACCGCAAGAGGAAGAGACGGCUAACUCUGUGCCAGCCGCCGCAGUAACAC
rnacentral:rRNA from 1 species